rnacentral:rRNA from 1 species
UACGUAGGGAGCAAGCGUUGUCCGGAUUCACUGGGUGUAAAGGGUGCGCAGGCGGAUUUGUUAGUCGGAGGUGAAAUCUCACGGCUUAACCGUGAAACUGCCUUUGAUACUGCAGAUCUUGAGUUUGGGAGAGGUUGAUGGAAUUCCAGGUGUAGCGGUGAAAUGCGUAGAUAUCUGGAAGAACACCAGUGGCGAAGGCGGUCAACUGGCCCAUAACUGACGCUCAGGCACGAAAGCGUGGGGAGCAAACAGG